rnacentral:lncRNA from 1 species
GUGGCCUAGUGGGUAAAGGACCGACCUCAAGUAUGAGGGCGCGGGUUCGAUCCCAGGUCAGGCAAGUACCAAUGCAACUUUUCUAAGUUUGUAUGUACUUUCUAAGUAUAUCUUAGACACCAUUGACUGUGUUUCGGAUGGCACGUUAAACUGUAGGUCCCGGCUGUCAUUGAACAUCCUUGGCAGUCGUUACGGGUAGUCAGAAGCCAGUAAGUCUGACACCAGUCUAACCAAGGGGUAUCGGGUUGCCCGGGUUACUGGGUUGAGGAGGUCAGAUAGGCAGUCGCUUCUUGUAAAGCACUGGUACUCAGCUGAAUCCGGUUAGACUGGAAGCCGACCCCAACAUGAUAAAAAGGGAAAAAUGGGAAAAAUUUCAUGGGAAGGCUCGGAGGAUGACAUAGCCCAGUUAUUACGGUUGAAACCGCUAGUUAGUAGAUGUUUGUAAAAAAUACAUUUAUUUUUAUUCUUUUCACGUAAACGUCGCCCGCCGUCACCGCACAGUGAUUCACUCUAAGGCCAUAAAUCGAAAAAUGUCAUCGGCUUAUCCCCAUUAGAUCUACUUACUAAGUGAUUAACAAGUUCACAAGCUUCCGAAAACUCUAAAUACCAGUGUCAUAAGGUCAACUUAUUAUUCACUUUUGUGCAUCGGAAGUUAGCGCAUCUCGAGUCUAAUUAUCGCAACGUGUGAGUCAUCAAAACUUAACACUUUGUUUUUGAGUGUCACUAUUCCAAAUCAAGUGUUUACGUAUGGUGACAGUAUGGAGGUCCAAGACCAAGGUAAAGUUUUCAAAUGUUCUGUUUCGAGGACGACUAUUUUUGACAUUUGGCACUCUAAAGAGGGUAGUCCAAAUGAAAAAUGCAACAUGUCCUGAAUACUUUUACAGAAACAUCGUGCCUUUCGGAUGACAUCGAAAAUAUCAAACUAGAGACUUUAAGUAAUAAAAUUAUGAAUGUAUGUAAACGAAUUUCUCAUUAUUGGGCAAUAUCAAAUCGUAGUAGGUCUAAGUUUAUAGAGAAAUAUUCAGAUUGGCUGAAUGUAGUUGAAAAUAUUGAUG